rnacentral:rRNA from 1 species
CCUACGGGAGGCAGCAGUGGGGAAUAUUGCACAAUGGAGGAAACUCUGAUGCAGCGACGCCGCGUGAGCGAAGAAGUAUUUCGGUAUGUAAAGCUCUAUCAGCAAGAAAGAUAAUGACGGUACUUGACUAAGAAGCCCCGGCUAACUACGUGCCAGCAGCCGCGGUAAU